rnacentral:rRNA from 1 species
GCUUACGGCCACACCACCCUGAGCACGCCCGCUCUCGUCUGAUCUCGGAAGCCAAGCAGGGUCGGGCCUGGUUAGAACUUGGAUGGGAGACCGCCUGGGAAUACCAGGUGCUCUAAGCAU